rnacentral:tRNA from 1 species
GCCGGGGUGGCGGAACUGGCAGACGCGAGAGACUUAAAAUCUCUUGAAGGCAACACUUCUUGUGGGUUCGACUCCCACCCUCGGCA